AAGUGCUUCACCAGUGACUUCUCUCAGUUGGCUGGAGACACUUCUCGGAUACUACGAAUCGACAAAGAAUACUGAUGAACAACGAUAACAGUAUUCAUCAUCAUAAUAAAACACAGGAACGAGAUGCGUAUUGCUCAAGGAUUAGUGAUUUACACAUCCAUGCUAACGCUAGCAUUCCCCUCCGUGUUGAUGUACAGUUUCCAAGUGUCGUUGGAUUGUCAAGAAAAUGGUGAUACGACAGCUGUGAUUACAGGCUUCACGAUAACAACAAACGAGCUAAAAGUAAUGUUAUUGAUCGAAAGCUCUUCAUUUCAGUUUGCCUAGUCAUAUAUAACAGCCAAAUAAGAGCAACUCUGUAACGGGUAUGGCGUUAAAACGCUGUUACUCACCGUGUAAACCUUAGUGUUGGCGAACUCAGUUGAAUAAAGAAUAAAAUAUGAACGGUUGAUUUAACCAAGUUAAAAUGGUAAACAUCAGCUCCUUCUUCUUCUUGUCCCUGAAAACAUGUAACUUGGCCUAGUGGGCGGAGCACAACCUUAAUGAGCCUCGAUGACAUCGGACUUCCAGAUCCACCCAAUAACCUCAAACCCUAACUCAUUUGUCCAUUUAUAAUCCAAUACCAAAACAUCAUAAUUUCAACCUCAUACAUUAAUGAACCACCAAGAUGGUUUAACUUUUAUAAAUACCAAUACGGUUCCCUCUAAAGAUAAAAAAAAAAAAAAAAAGACGACCAAUUACGAUAUUCUGGAAACCCAAAUGAAUUGUUCAGUUGCCCAUAAAGUAAACACUAAAUUAAACAAGAGUUUGGAAAUUGAUUUAGUCACUAUUUCUGCCCCACAGAACUUCAUAAACCACAAUCCAUUGCGCAUCUAAACCAGUGACCUUGUGGUGAAGAUGGAAACCAGGAAAUAGAAACAUGUAGUUUUUAAAGUGAUCUCAAAACAUCAAAUAACCAUGCGGGAUGUAUCACCAAAUGUCUUAUCAAGAAAAUGACAAAAAGUUAAUACACAUCUCAAAAUCAGCUAUAAAUCUAGCAUUCACACUUUUUACCGAUUUGAAUGAAAUAAAACACGUCUAAACAAGUCGAAUGUAUAAUAUGGGAUAUGUUUAUAACAUGUUAAGCACUCCCAAAUUAUUUGCAUGUGUCACAGGAAACAUGUGUUGUUUCUAGAAUCAGAGAGUGUUGUCCCAACGCAUGUCCAUCCCAUGACAUUUUGACCUUUGUAACUUGAACAAGGGGAGAGGAAAGUCCACUAUGUCUUCACUGUAAUUUUCAGAUUAUAAUUUGGUUAAAUACGUUAUAGAAAUAACAUUAUAUUGAUCAUUGUAUUAAAGCACAAAUUUUACCGAACUCUUAGCCAUUUGUAACAUUACAAAUUAUUUGGGAAUAAUUGGAUCACUACUGGAAUUAAAGUUGUCCUGAAAGUAUUUUUAGACCUGCAUUUUCCCAAAAAAAUUAUUAUGAAUAUGAUGUGAAUGGUCUUAACUUGGAAAUCCUCAGUUAAGGGAUGGAAAUUUAUUAUCAAGCAGAAGCAACAUGAUUGCAAAGCUACACAUUUCAAACAUAUGCGUAGGCCUAUAUUGUCAGUGGACGUUGUGAAGUAAUUUGUCCAGCAGAUGUCACACUUUCCAAAGUUUUGUAAAAUUCAUAAACCAACGAUUAUAUUUCAUCAACCGAGUUGAUUAUAAUUUAAAGUAGUGUUUAAAGUAGUAGUUUUGUUAGCUGGUUAUAGCAAGGUAUACCAGCCAGCUCCCACGUUUUUUAACCUCCAGAGCUCACUUGCGAGACAAUACAAUUAGGUUUUAGUUGUUCUCGCCUCUGCAAGCCAUGCGUAGCCAGCAAACAGGAUACGGGUUUAGUUGGAAGACCACAAGAGCCAGCAGGGGUAGACUAUAAAUAAGCACCUGAUUAAAGCCGUUGACACUGA